rnacentral:lncRNA from 1 species
CGCCUUAGCUUUCUCGUGACCGAGUCGUCUUCGUCUUCUCUUUCCUAUAAAUGAAUACCCAAAGACCUCAUCUUCUUCACAAUUCAGAUUCCAAAUUUCUCAAACAAUCUAAAAUCAUUCUCUCAAAUCUCUCAACCGUGAUCAAGGUAGAUUUCUGGGUUCCUUUUCAGUUUCUUCGUAUUGUUUCGUUCGAUCGUGAUUGAGUUUCUGUUCUUUGAAUUUCAUUCGGUUAAUCUUAAAAGUUCUGAGUUUCUUCGUUAGAUCUCAUCUUAAUUCUCGAUUAGGGUUCGUUGUUUUCGUUGAUCUGUUUAUUUUCUCGUCGAUUCUUUGAAUUUGAUCCGAUUUUUUCAACGAAUUUGAGUUUUAUCUUUGAGAUCUAUCCAGAUCUGGUAUUAGUUUCUUGAUCGGAUUUGAUUCUUAUUUGUGCGAUCGGAUUUGUCGACUAAUCUCAAUUUUUUUCUGAAAUACAGAUGCAGAUCUUCGUUAAAACUCUCACCGGAAAGACUAUCACCCUUGAGGUGGAAAGCUCUGACACCAUCGACAACGUUAAAGCCAAGAUCCAGGACAAGGAAGGCAUUCCUCCGGAUCAGCAGAGGCUUAUUUUCGCCGGAAAGCAGUUGGAGGAUGGCCGUACGUUGGCUGAUUACAACAUCCAGAAGGAAUCCACCCUCCACUUGGUUCUCAGGCUCCGUGGUGGUAUGCAGAUUUUCGUCAAGACCCUAACGGGAAAGACGAUUACUCUUGAGGUGGAGAGUUCUGACACUAUCGACAACGUGAAGGCCAAGAUCCAGGAUAAGGAAGGUGGAGAGCUCCGACACCAUUGACAACGUGAAGGCCAAGAUCCAGGAUAAGGAAGGUAUCCCUCCGGACCAGCAGAGGUUGAUCUUCGCCGGAAAACAGUUGGAGGAUGGUCGUACCUUGGCGGAUUACAACAUCCAGAAGGAGUCGACCCUUCACUUGGUGUUGCGUCUCCGUGGAGGUAUGCAGAUCUUCGUCAAGACUUUGACCGGAAAGACCAUCACCCUUGAAGUGGAGAGCUCCGACACCAUUGACAACGUGAAGGCUAAGAUCCAGGACAAGGAAGGUAUCCCUUUGGACCAGCAGCGUCUCAUCUUCGCUGGAAAGCAGCUUGAGGAUGGUCGCACUUUGGCCGAUUACAACAUCCAGAAAGAGUCUACUCUUCACUUGGUCCUCCGUCUCCGUGGUGGUUUUUAAAACUCGUCUCUGUUAUGGUUUAAGAAGUUUAUGCCUCGUUUCUUUUAAAACUUUGGUGGUUUGUGUUUCUGGGGCCUUGUAAAGCUCCUGAUAAAUAAUUGAUGAACUAUGUUUUCGAUCCGUUAAUCUCCUCUUUCUUCCUAAUGACAAAUCGAACUAAUUUUCAAUUGCAAUUAUGUCCUUGGAUUCACUUCUAUCAUCGUUAUCUCUCUACACGAUGUGCUAUCUUCUUAGUAUGCACUAUCCGAAAUAUAACCGUUAAAAGCACAACAGAAUUAGUCAUAGGGCCUUGGUUAGCUAGGCGUCAGCAUACCCAAUCUGCAAUUUAGAAAGAAAGAUUACAGUCUAACAAUCCCAUGAGAUCUAAUCAAAACUGACACAUUUACACAUGACAUACUUAAAUGACUUCAAAAACAAAGAAUGAUAUCAUACAAGUCCAAAUAGAGAGUUUAGGACUUGGUCUGCAGAGAACAGGGAAAGGAGGUUUCUCGUUUCCUGCAUCGUUCAUAACUUUGGCUUGGAACUCAUCAAGAGGUCCAUUGGGAAUUUAGGAUACUCUCGAGCCGGGAAAAGGGGAUUUUCAUACCCGUACUAUCUAUACCGUGGAUUUUUAUACCUGGACAAUUUCGUAGUGUAUUUUACAACCUAAACUUCAAUAAAAUUUGAAUUUCAUACCUAUACUUGAUACAACGUGCAAAAAUCGGAGUCAAUCUAACGAGUGUUAGUCAACUCCGUUACAGUGCUGAGUCAUCGUACACGUGUACGCUGACAUGUAUGAAAACGACGUCGUUUUCAUACCCGUACUGUCUGUGCCGUGGAUUUUCAUACCUAGACAAUUUUGUAGGGUAUUUUACAACCUAAACUUCAAUAAAAUUUGAAUCUCAUACCCUAUACUUGAUACAACGUGUAAAAAUCGGAGUCAAUCUAACGGGUGUUAGUCAACUCCGUUACGGUGCGUAUCGAAACGUCGUCGUUUUCUCAUUUCUUCUUCUUCUUCUCACAAAUUAGGCAUGAACAAAGUUUUACCAUGUGACUACGGCUUCGCACAACUUUUAGGGUUUAUAAGUUAAAAAGAUUGAGGAAUACUCGAUGAACGUUGUGGAUCAGUUGUAUUCGGUGCUUCCCAUGUGACUACGGCUCGCGGGUUCGAGUCCCCACUUUUGCAAUUUAUUUCUACUUCGUGAACACAUAUCAAAAUGAGGUCGGUUCGAUGCGCACCGUGACGGAAGAGACUAACGCCCGUUAGAUUGAUUACAAUUUUUACACGUUGUAUCAAGUAUAGGGUAAGAGAUUCAAAUUUUAUUGAAGUUUAGGACGUAAAAUACCCUACAAAAUUGUCUAGGUAUGAAAAUCCACGGCACAGACAGUACGGGUAUGAAAACGACGUCGUUUUGAUACAUGACAACGUACACGUGUACGAUGACUCAGCACCGUAACGGAGUUGACUAACACUCGUUAGAUUGACUCCGAUUUUUGCACGUUGUAUCAAGUAUAGGUAUGAAAUUCAAAUUUUAUUGAAGUUUAGGUUGUAAAAUACCCUACGAAAUUGUCCAGGUAUAAAAAUCCACGGUACAGAUAGUACGGGUAUGAAAAUCCCCUUUUCCCCUCUCGAGCCAUAAACGUUAUAUAAUAAGAAUUCCAUCUAGAAUUCAAUAACUCUCACAAUCUCUACCAAUUCCACAGUCUUUCCCUAGGAAAGAAUAAAAAAUAAAACCCAAAAUUGAACGACUCCAAAAUGAAAAACUCAACAUCAACCAAAUCACUAACCUUCCCAUCGUUUAAUUUCUUAACAUACAAGUUAGCAAGAUUUGUCAUCAACUCCCGAGCAGUUCAUGUUCCGAUACGCUAUUUCUUCAACAUCUUGGCUCGAUUCAGGAGCCAUGAUUAGAGGAGACCCUAAACUAGCUCUUAGAAAAACAAUUCGGGAAUUUCCAGGAACUGGAACUUACAGGAGUAGGUUGAGCUUUAUUAUUUUGUAAUGAAAUUAACACAUUAUUCCAACACCUUUAAACAAAAGAUCUUUUUCCAAACUGAGUUUGAUUCAAAUCAAAAAGUGUCAACAAAGGAAACACUUUUAAAUGAAUAUAAAUGCAUAGAGAGAUUCUGGAGAAGAAAGUAGACGACGGAAUCAACACAUGUGAGAAUUCGAGACGGAUCGUGUUGUUUCCUAUCAAACGAAAUCCAUAAUCAUAACAUUCACAAGCCCAACAAAAAAAAACAUUUUAAUAAUUCCGGCCCAAGCCCAAUCACACAAGUAGUUAAGCUGAGUUUAGGUCUUCACUAUUUAAAGCUCGUAAACCCUAGACUUGGAUAUUCUUCAGUCCAGCCGCAAGAAGAAGAAGAAGAAGCGUGAGUUUUCGUUCCUCUCUUCUUUUCGUUUCUCUCUGAUUCUCUUCGCUGCGAUCUCGUUUGAGUAUUAUUAGAUUUCUUGUGAGUUUUCUCUCAUCGUGUGUUCUGCUGCUAGCUCCUGGAAAUAUUCUAAGUUCGUUGUUUUGUUCAUUUUGAGGUUUAGAGUCCUUUGAUUUGUUGUUUGUUCUGCUGUAGAUAUUUAUCCUUGGAAUGAGUAAGAUUAGAGUUUCAGUGAUGAAGCUUUUCGUUUAUUUGAUUGAUGUCCUUACUGAUUACGACUGUAAAUGAUAUUUUGAUGCCUUUUUCCACCGUAAAUUGUAGACAAACCCUAGAAACUUGGAUUCUUCUGAGAGUUUGAAAUUUGACAGAGCAGUGAGAUAAACCAGUUGGAUGAUUUUUAUUAAACUCAUCCAAGAAAUGAUCCUAAUCCAGCUGAGUCUGAUCGGAGCAGUUAACUGGAGCUGCUUCAGUCUAAAAUAGAAAAGGACCUAAAUACCCCUAUCAAAUUUAGAGAAUUACACCAAAACCUAAACCUUCUUCUCCUUCUUCUCCUCAUCCUCGACACAUAACAUUCCUUUGGCCAUCUCUGUAGAGAAGAGAAACGAGAUCUCUUCUUCGCCGGAUCUCUUCGUCGCAUGAUCUCCUCCGCCGGAUCUCUCACCGGAAUCCACUCCUCUUUGAUCUUCUCACCCCACUCCACUCCUCUUUGAUCUCUUCGCCGGAUCUCUUCUUCUCUCUCUCGUGCGUGGGUUUAAGGUGUUACAGAUUGAAUUAGCUGCGACCACUGUUUGAGAGGUAAGACUCAUGGGUUUGAUUAUUGGAUUCGAUUUCUCUUUUAGUCAUUGAAAUUUCGAAGUGGGUUUCAGGUGUUACCGAUUGAAAUCGCUGCAACCACUGUUUGAGAGGUAUGAUAUAUCUCUAUUUCAUGAUUUUGUAUUGAGUUUAUGUGUACCAAUGGAGAUGAGUGUUGUGGCUUUGUUUGAUUUCGUGUUUCUAAUGCUUAUAGGCUAUGUUUAGUGUGGAGGUUGCUGCUACUAUGUUUAGUUUCAUAGUAAAAGAGAAGUUACCAGAGAGUUACAAUGGUUCUGAAUAAACCAUAAACCAUAUAGGGAGAAGAACAAUAGUUUCUACUGUUUUGAGUGAUUUUACAAUGGUUUUGAUAUGUUGCUUACAUUCAAUGAGUGUCUUUCAAUGUCUCUUAUGAAGUAGUUUUUUUCUAUGUGUCAAUGUUUCAAGGUUUAUUUUGUGUUUAUUUCUUUCUUUACUCAAUGAGUGUCUUUCAAUGUCUCUUAUGAAUCCAAAGAAAGCUGUCUCUAUUUCUUUCUUUGACUUUCAAUCGCAAGUAUGUGUCAGCGUCUAUGUUUCUGGUUUUAGCUCAUUAAGGCACAAUAAUUGACUAUCUAAUUAGUCUUCUACCAUCAAAUUUCUUGAAGACCACAGAGAGCUUUGCAAUGAAUUUUAGAUUGGUGUUUGCAUGUUUACUAUUGUAUAUUUGUACUAUUACUCUAUGGUUUAGACUUUAGAAAUCGUUUCUGGAAGAACAUUGGUUUGGUUUUCUGGUUAUGACUUUUCUUGUGGUUCCCAGUUUUGAUGGAAUUGUUUGCUUGUUUUGUAUAGCUGUAAUGCUUUUUAUGGAUAUUAAAAAUGUAUGUUUCCCUUUUUAGAUUCAUGUUUUGGAGCUAGAGAUUUUUAAUGGAUGAACAGAGAGUUAAUUAGUUCUACAUUUGCUUAUAUAGAUGCUAUCUUUUUGGUAAUAAAUGUCAAAUAUAAUAAUUUGAAAUUUGUUUGGUUGUAAAUAUAUAUAUUUGAUCAAUAAUUAAAAUUAAUAUGGUUAAGAUUAAGACUUAAAAUAUAAUUAGAUGAAAACAUGGGCAUUUUAGUCAUUUUUCUAAUCAAAAGCAUCUAGAUGAGAAUGGUUUUCAACCAAACAAACAAAGUUUUAACCAAAAGCAGUUAGAUGGAUCAUCCAGAUGAACCACCAAAAAUGAAAACGAAAAUCAUUCAGAUGGAUUAGCCAGAUAGAUCAUUUGGAUGGAGCAUUUGGAUGCAUAUCCCAAAUGAGCAAACGAACAACACCAUCCAUGAAAUAUUACUAGAUUCGUAUCUGUUUUACUUUAUUUAUGUUAGCUAUAGCAUCGGGAUGGUCUUUUGUUUUGCUGCGAUCUCGUUUGAGUUUUCUCUCAUCGUGACCGACGUCGUCUUCGUCUUCUCUUGUAUAUAAAUGAAUACCCAAAGACCUCAUCUUCUUCACAAUUCAGAUUCCAAAUUUCUCAAACAAUCUAAAAUCAUUCUCUCAAAUCUCUCAACCGUGAUCAAGGUAGAUUUCUGGGUUCCUUUUCAGUUUCUUCGUAUUGUUUCGUUCGAUCGUGAUUGUUUCGUUCGAUCGUGAUUGUUUCGUUCGAUCGUGAUUGAGUUUCUGUUCUUUGAAUUUCAUUCGGUUAAUCUUUGAUCGGAGACAAAGUUCUG